rnacentral:rRNA from 1 species
UGGUAAUGAUGGCAGAGAGGUCACACCCGUUCCCAUACCGAACACGGAAGUUAAGCUCUCUAGCGCCGAUGGUAGUUGG